GACUCAUCCUCAACUACCCGUGUUUAAUAAUAUGUAACUUUAAUUUCAUGUUGAUCUAUCUUUGUAAUUUUAAUUUUGACGUUCAAAAUUCUGAACGAGCUCUCCCUUCCUCCGAUCAACCUCUUUGGCCGCCGCAAUGUACACAACACCAAAGACCUUCGCUCACCUCUCUCAUUUCCGAACCCUAAUCACUCUGAAACCAAAGGUAACGAACAAAAUCUAUCCUAACAGAUUAAAACCAAAAUACCUUCAAACCUAAAUUGAAUAGUGCAUACGCUUGGAAUCAAGCCCUAAACAGAGGGGAAAGAAUCAAGACGGCGUGGAGAUUCUACUAGUGAAAGGAAGAUGCGAAAAGAGCUCAGAGACUUACCUGAACCGCGAAAUGAAGAUGACGUUAAAGAAAACCAGAGGGCACAAAAUAAGGGACUGAUUCUGAUGUGCAGAGCCGAAAAGCAUGCUCGGUUCGGUAUAGCUCAAAGUCGCGGGUGGCUCUUUUGAUCGUAUGUUAAUGAACGAAACGCCUCAGACUGAACUGGCGCACAGUUGUUUGGUAUGAACAUGAUCCCCUGUGCGUGGCUGGAUUUUCUGUUAUGACUCUCUCAUUCAAUAGUACAGUUUUCCCCUGAUUCAAAAUUUUCCUUCUGAGCUAAUACAGGUCUGAUGAAUUUGUUUAUGUGGUAUGUACCUGAUUUUAAAAUGUAUGAUGUGCUGAAUAUAUUUAGAAUAGUUUCUGAACAUGACAAGAAUGUCUUGUUGAUCCUGCUAUGCUUGGAAUGAAGUGUGAUGUGUUUAUUUGGUGAUAUGGCUUAUGCAGGUUUAAAUUAUGUAGAGUCAGAAAUUGAAUGUGCAACUCUUAGAAGUUUGAAAGAAGGUUAAUAAAUCGGUUUUGUCAAUGGGCUAAAACAACUAGGGACUUCAGUUAGUAGUUAGAUUUGUGUUAGUAGAACUGUGAGCAAAUUGGUCGAAUCUUGGUGCAAAUGGUUAGGCUUUCAUGAGUGCAUACGUGUGGUUACUAUUUGUGUUAUUCAUGUAAAAAAAAUAGAUGCAUGGUUAUGAAUUGAUGUGAACUAUUUUUUGUGUUGGUUUACAUGUCUGACUUGAUGUAUGGAUAUUGAGAAUAGCUUGGAGUAUGAAGGAUGCAGAGAGGAUUGAUUAAGGAAUUAGAUUUAGGAAAUAACCUAGAAAUGGUCAACACGGUCAACCUUCCAUGGUUAACUUGUUGACCAAAAAGUCAAACUUCCAUUUUUUUCCUUGUAAUUGCGAUGUAACCUUGCAAUGUCCCUUUCUUAUUUUCUCGUACAUGACAUGUAAGCCUUGCAACUUAAGUUAAAUGAAUCUUCUUUUUUUUCAAAUAAUCUUGAAAUGCAUUAUUCUCCUUCAAAUGAUACUUGAAUUUGAAAUUCCAAUGAUUUUUCUAUUUGCAACUCGAAUUUAUAGAGUGAGGUGAAAUGUGAACCAAUGAGAAACUCAAAGAUGACUUCGGUCAAAAAGUUAACUUCUCAAGGUUGACUUUGACCAAAGUCAAAGUUCUUUAUCAAUACACCUUAGGUUUCCACCUUCAAAGCACCUCUCUUGAAUGAAAUCCAACGUUAAUGACUUGUAAUUCAAGUACUAUAACAUCUUGCUCUUUAAACACAAUUAAUUGGAGAACUUCUUUGAGUCAAUGACAAGCACAACCCUAAUUCAAAUGAUGAGUGCAAGAACAAGAAGAUGCCUCUCCAACCAUGAUCCAUAAAAGAAACUUCAUCUUCAAACUCAAGCUUUUUUUAAAGAAGUCCAUAGGAUAACUUAUGUCACAAGUAACAAGGAAAGUGGUUCCCCAUAACGUAGACAAGCUCAAGUGUUGAAGAGGAAAAAAGCCAUGAUAGUUGUAGGGCCAAACCCUAACUCAUUUGAUAAACCCAAGUAUAAGGAAAUAAACCCUAAUCCAUGACCAAUGAUCCAAUGCCCCAAGGUGAACGAUAUGUCGAUGACCUAAUGCGUGAUGCAAAUGAAUGAGAAAAUACAAGCCAAAUAAAAGUAAAAGGGUAGGACAAAUUUGAGGUAUGACAAUGAGAGGUUUCAAAUAAUUUCCUCCAAGCACUAUAUA